rnacentral:rRNA from 1 species
UAGGGAAUCUUCGGCAAUGGACGCAAGUCUGACGGAGCAACGCCGCGUGAGUGAAGAAGGAGUUCGGUUCGUAAAACUCUGUUGUUAGAGAAGAACAGCGCAUAGAGUAACUGUUAUGCGUGGUACGGUAUCUAACAAGAAAGCCACGGCUAACUACGUGCCAGCAGCCGCGGUAAUACGUAGGUGGCAAGCGUUGUCCGGAUUUAUUGGGCGUAAAGCGAGCGCAGGCGGUCAAUUAAGUCUGAUGUGAAAGCCCCCGGCUUAACCGGGGAGGGUCAUUGGAAACUGGUUGACUUGAGUGCAGAAGAGGAGGGUGGAAUUCAAUGUGUAGCGGUGAAAUGCGUAGAUAUAUGGAAGAACACCAGUGGCGAAGGCGACUCUCUGGUCUGUAACUGACGCUGAGGCUCGAAAGCGUGGGUAGCAAACAGG